rnacentral:rRNA from 1 species
AAUAGAUACCCCGGUAGUCCACGCCGUAAACGAUGAGUGCUAAGUGUUAGAGGGUUUCCGCCCUUUAGUGCUGCAGCAAACGCAUUAAGCACUCCGCCUGGGGAGUACGGUCGCAAGACUGAAACUCAAAGGAAUUGACGGGGGCCCGCACAAGCGGUGGAGCAUGUGGUUUAAUUCGAAGCAACGCGAAGAACCUUACCAGGUCUUGACAUCCUUAUGCCAUCUCUAGAGAUAGAGCUUUCCCUUCGGGGACAUAAGUGACAGGUGGUGCAUGGUUGUCGUCAGCUCGUGUCGUGAGAUGUUGGGUUAAGUCCCGCAACGAGCGCAACCCUUGAUCUUAGUUGCCAGCAUUAAGUUGGGCACUCUAAGGUGACUGCCGGUGACAAACCGGAGGAAGGUGGGGAUGACGUCAAAUCAUCAUGCCCCUUAUGACCUGGGCUACACACGUGCUACAAUGGAUGGUACAAAGGGCAGCAAAACCGCGAGGUUAAGCCAAUCCCAUAAAACCAUUCUCAGUUCGGAUUGCAGG